GAUGAACGCUGGCGGCGUGCCUAAUACAUGCAAGUCGAGCGAACGGACGAGAAGCUUGCUUCUCUGAUGUUAGCGGCGGACGGGUGAGUAACACGUGGAUAACCUACCUAUAAGACUGGGAUAACUUCGGGAAACCGGAGCUAAUACCGGAUAAUAUUUUGAACCGCAUGGUUCAAAAGUGAAAGACGGUCUUGCUGUCACUUAUAAAUGGAUCCGCGCUGCAUUAGCUAGUUGGUAAGGUAACGGCUUACCAAGGCAACGAUGCAUAGCCGACCUGAGAGGGUGAUCGGCCACACUGGAACUGAGACACGGUCCAGACUCCUACGGGAGGCAGCAGUAGGGAAUCUUCCGCAAAGGGCGAAAGCCUGACGGAGCAACGCCGCGUGAGUGAUGAUGGUCUUCGGAUCGUAAAACUCUGUUAUUAGGGAAGAACAUAUGUGUAAGUAACUGUGCACAUCUUGACGGUACCUAAACAGAAAGCCACGGCUAACUACGUG
rnacentral:rRNA from 1 species